UUGGCUAGUGCAAGGAUGCUGCCGUGGGCAAGAGCAAACCUCAACCACUCAGCUCAAGCACUCAUUAUCUCAACAGUCGCUGGAGCAGCUUAUUUCAUAGUUGCUGACAAGACUAUCUUGGCCACGGCUAGGCAGAACUCCUUCAAGUAAGUCUCCAACAUUGACGGGUGAACUGAAAAAA